rnacentral:lncRNA from 1 species
ACCAGGAUUUGCUGAGCACCAGUUACUGUGCACUCAAGCUUGGCACCAUAUGCACCAAUUUCAUGGGAUCACAAAUGUGUGAGCCAUGACAUUAUCAACCUUAUCGUACUGCAAAGGAAGAGACUCUGAAUCAGGAACCAGUUACCAGACUUAGGUCGCUCUCGAGAACUGCAGUAUGUGUAUGUGGAUAACAACGUCAACCUGAAAGGCCUGCCCUCAUACCUCUACAACAAAGUCAUCGGCUGCAACGGAUCUGAACUUUUUGUCUCCAAUCUCAUUACCCAAAAGUCUCCUGGAGCUGCUGCACUGCCCCCUGGGGCACUGUCACCGGUGUAGUGAGCCCAUGUUUACCUUUGUCUACCCUAAGCUCUUCCCCUUGAGAGAGACGCCAAUGGCAGGCCUGCACCAGAGGAGGACAAGUAUUGGCUUCGUGGCCUACUGCUGCUCCGCCCAGUGUCUGCGGACUUUUAACCUGCUGUGUUGACAAACACUCGGAGCCUUAGGAGCACUGCCAGCUCAGCCACUGCAGCUGCCUGCCAUCGCCCAGUGUGCGGCCGCCGGGCCAGGAGAGUCCAGCAAGGCAGGACAGACCCUUCCUGUCCUGUCCAGAGGAGAGGCAUGCUGAACUCUCUGGAAAUGUCUUGAUUGGCCUUCACCUUUCCCUCAAGUUGGAAUAUAUCCUGCCCCAAAUU